UAAUUUUUUUUUCUGCAUAAAAACUGACAUUACCGGUUAAGUGAUUUAUAAAUGCCUAUAUUGUUUCUUCGGGAGCCUGGUUUUUCUAUAUGGAGUUUUAUUAAAUUAUAUAUAUUCUGUUGGAGCCAUUUUAAUCAGCAACCAAUGAGUGGUGCUGUGACCUAGAUACCCGUUUAUUUGAAGGCCACACUAAUUGACACAGGUGUGACGCAUAGGGGAGGUGUAUUGUGGCGUGGACUGUUGGGAAGACCUUGCUCUUUGUUGAUUUCGGUGAACUCCAGACGGUAAAUAAAUUGGUUACAUAUAUCCAUUCCUAGUUAUGAGUGUGGACAUUUGCUUUUUGUAAAUAUAGAAACAUAAACUCUAUUGGCGUUGUUUUUGCCACGACGAAGUACAAGAGCACGUCAAAGCAGCCAGAAGCCACGUGUUGUUAAUUGAUGUUCCACGGCCUGCCAUGAGGUCAGCGCAUGAUCAAUAUAGUUAAUUGACUGAGAGAAAAAAAGAACCAUGACUUCGAAGAGGAUACAGAAGAAGAUGACUGUGUUUGAAAAUCCAAUAUAUAAUAGACUGAAAAAGAAAAGACUGAAAAAAGACUUUUGAUUUGGAAAAUCAACUUUAUGUGAAAAUUUGAAUGUACUGAUAAAAAAAAGUUUCCAUCAAAAAAGUAAAUAUCAGAACUUUGAUGGCUUGGAGAGUCCAUCAUUCUUCCCACUGGCACAUUCAUGGAACCAAAAAACACAAAAACCGAACCAUAUACAAAUACUGUUAUAAAAAUAAAUCCCUCCAAUCACAGUAGAGAAUCCUUUAUCUCACUAUCAAGUGUAACAAAUAUUCACAAAUCCCUUUCAGUCUCACUAACUACAUACAACCUAAAACAAACGCAAUUCUCACAUUUUAAAUCAUUCAGUCUCAAAACCCUCCGAGAUACCAAAUCACAAAGACAACAAGAAGCUAACCGGAUAUUUGUGGAAAUUACAACCUCUGAAAUGAUAAAUACUGCUGUAGAUAUCAAAUUAAACUAACGAUUGUUGAGUAACACUCAUCAGGUUCUCCGGAAUAUAGUCUCUCGUUGAGGUAAACUGAAUGAGAGACUUAUUUUAAAGUACAUCAGUGCACAAGGUAGCUUGUGUUGAAGUGAAGGUGAGAAAUAAGAACUUCCAUAUGUGGAAUAUUUUAAAUAGCCAAAAAAAUAGCCAUAUUGAACACAUGUAACUAUAAUAAACCACAUAAUGAAUAACAGUAUAGCCACAAGUGGCAAUUAACAGGGUCAAAGCAACCUGGCAGCAAUAGGACCUUGAUUAAUGGCUUAAACAGGGCCAAUUUUGAACAAUGCUCAAUUUACAGUGUAUAGCACAGCAUGUGCUUGUAGCUUUUCCUUCUCAGAUGCUGCUGUGACUCCACUGGUCAAGUCAUCAUACUUCUCCCACACACAGGAAGCUCUCCUGCAGUAUGCAGUGUAGUGCCCCAGACCAUCCUUGGUCAAGCUUCCCUGAAAUGCAAUGAUAGCUCUCAGAGUGAAUGUCUUUCCUUGGAGAACCAUACUGGAGGGAAAUUCACUCAAACAAAAUUCGGUUUGGUUUGCAGGGUCUGUGUCAAUCCAUGUUACUUCUCCAAUGCUGUAGCUGUGAGUAACUGUCCCUGCACAGAGCACUUUUCCUGAGGUUCUGUUUGCUGUUUUCAGUUCUGCUGGACACUGAGAAUGCUCCAGGAUUGGCCUGAGGCAGGGAGACUGGGGCAGCCGGAGUCCUUCUUCCACAGCAGUGUCAAGCUGAGCCACACCAGAAUUCCUCAGAACAGAAAGGUCAGGAGAAACAAGUGGCACUUCCCUUGUCAUUCCUUUGCUGAGGUAACAGUACUGUGAAGAGCAGUGUUUUGUGAGAUACACACUGGAUACAUUUCUCAUUGUUUUUGCAAUGACAGUAGAGAUGUUGCACUGUGCAUCAACUUGGAGGGCACCGGACCUCAACUGGACUGCUUCAAACAUUGUACUAAGCAGCUCUGCCCUCUGUGAGUAUGUCUGUUUGGCGACCCCAUCUGUGACGACAGCUUUCACCAGCUGCAAGACUGGGUUGUCACCGUCUCUCCUAACAGCAUUUUGAAAUGCAGAGCUGUCACAGAAAGCACAACAUAAAGCCUGACAAAACGCAUCAAAUGUGCAGGUGUUCAACACAGAGAUCAUUGAUUUGCCAAGUCUAAUAGGCUGAUGAAGGUUUCCAUUUUUUAAUAAUCCCACCUUCACUCUUUUGGCCCCAAAAGAUGGAUCUACGUGGAGCCACUCAGCGCAAGGAGAGAGGUAGGAAGUCCUCUUCCUUUUUUUGGGUGGAACCACUAGGCCUCUCCAGUUUUCGACCGCUUCAUCAUCUGCUGAAGGAAUGUUUGUGGCAGCAUCACAUUCCACAAAAGGGUGAACAUCCAUUUUUUUCUUGCCUUCCGCACUGUGGGUAGUCAUGGAUGCUGGAUUGGCUUCUGUGACUAUCACAGAUGCCGCUGUUGCCUCAUCUUUCAUUUCUUUUGCAGAGCAAAUCCGCAUAUUUCCUUCAAUGAAAGACAGAUGACGAGCAAUGAAGCGAUCAACUCGAACAGGCAAGUUUUCAUGUUUGAAAAGGCCAUGUUUUAUAUUUUUGAACUCUGCUUCAGCAGUGGCUGAGCUUGCUGUGAUGCUGGUGCUUUGGAAGAGAGGGACCAUUAUUCCUGUCCAGAGCGGUCAGUCUGGAUCUCAUCACAUGGAUCCACUGUUUUCAUUUCCUCUCUAUCUUCUCCUGGAGUGAUGAUGGAGUCCUCUGCAAUUUGGGCUUUUAGGUAUUUCUUGCACCUUUCUGAUGCGAGAGGGACUCCAGAACUGUCAUCACCCUCUGCCUCACUGAGGGCAACAACAGUGAUAGCACGCAAUCCCACUGGCAGAUCAUCUUGAUGCAGUGUGCAACAUCAACCCUGACAAAACAAGGGGGAAGUUUUGCAGACUGGUUCCCGCGUAAGACAUUGAAGCAUUCAUUAAUGUAGGUCUUAAGAUCAGGAUGAGGAGUGAAAGCCUUGACCAGAGCUCCAAGAAUGGCCAGAGAAAAAUCACUCACAGCUUCCUUUGGAACAGCUGCACCUGCACGAAUCCAUUCUGCUAACCAAUUUGCAAUGGCAUUAACAUCAUGUCUCUCUGACAGCAUUUGCACCACUGGGACACUGGAGCAGUUGUGUGCUGUCAGAACACCUUGAUAAAGGAAGAUAUGGCCAGAUGUACCAUUUGGUCUCACCAGUUUUCUCACUACUGAGCCAGUUGCAUCAAAACACACUGCUGGGGUGGCCAAAUUUGGUAGGUGGCUUGGCUCAGGAUCUCCAACAUCCAUUAGAUCUGCUGCCUUUGCUGACCUCCAUACAGCUGGUUCCAUCCUGCCCUCACACAGCUCUUUCGCAAUCUGCUCACGCAGGUUUCCAGACAUGAACCGCUUGGAACGGCCAGUGUGCAGCGAGAUGUCUGUAUUUUUUAUGUCACACUGAAACAUCAUUGGGCUAUUAAUUGCUGGCUCUCUGCCACAUUUCAUUUCCAAAUGGCCAUUGCACUCCUUACAGUAGCCUCUAAUCUGUAUGUAAGCAUUGGUGACAGUUGGAUAAACCUUGGCUCUUUGGAACACAAAUGUGCAUGAGUUUUUUAUCUUCUUCCACAAUAAAUUAUUUAUGAGAUGAGUCCAAGUGCCAGGUUUCAAAACUGUGUAUUCCCUUUUCUGAGAUGGAGAAAACUUGUCUUUGUAUUGCACUUUUUCUGGAAUAAAUUUAAUCCAUUCCUCAAAAGGCACUUCCAGCUGAAAAGCUUGACAAUCUUUUUGUUCAGGAGAAAUGCAACCUGAGUCUGACUCCAUGUCAACAGUACUGUCUGGAUCACUUUCCUGGUCACUAAAUUCCAAAACUGACCAGAUGUUAUGUCUGUUCAGCUUCACAAAAGUGUACAGGGCCUUUGCAGACAUCUUGCCUUCUAACUGCUGACUCAGCUCUGUCCAGACAGUGGCAGCUGGAGUGGCUAUUUUGCCAUUGUUGACUAUGGCCUCUUUUGAAGUGCAGAGAACAGCAAAAAUUGAAUCCCUGUCUACUGAUGGCUUUCGGGGCAUCUAGUUAAAAAAAAAAAAAAACGAUGAUUAGCACUGAUCAAAACAUUAAUUCUGGCCUAUAUAAUCUUCCUGGAGACACAAAGCAUAUCAGUCUCCAGCAAUCUACAUGCUUACUUGGGUCUUUUGUGCAUUUACAAAUGAAGUGUUUCCUGUUUAAUUUUGAAAAUGUUAGCGAUACCAUGUUAGCUAAAUCAUGUUAACUUGGAAUUUUACUGCAUUAUUUUUGCUAAAACCUCGGUAUUUUACAAGUGCACUUACCGUGUCUAGAAAUCAGAUUUAUCUGAAGGUUGUAAAAAUACCACUGAAACGGUAAAAUUGUGAAAAGGUCAUCCAAUGUGUGUGUCUUGUGAAAUGGCUGUGAAAGACUGCUAUUUUGUGUCGUUCUUAGUGGGGAGUGCUGAAUGUUUUUUUUUUUUUAAAUGCUUCAUGCUCCUAAAUAAACUUUGAAGCGGUUUCAUUUAUUGUCUUAUGACAGAAAUGUGAUUGGCAAAGUAAAUAUAAAGCACAGUUCAUUAAAAAUGUAAAUUAGUAACAUAAAUACACAUUCUACGUUUAUUUAACCAAAUUUUAUUGAACAAAUGUACACACAAAGGCACAAAGUCAGUUCAAAGAGACAUUUUCCAGCAAUAACAGGUUGAACAUCCUCAGAUGUUAUUACAGUAGUUCUAUACACAUUAUAUACAUUAAGACGUUAUAAACGUGGCAGACCACAGACUUCAAUUCGGGUCAUGUGAUCGUCUGUAAAUAAAACUUGUAAUAUCUGAAAAACGAUAGCAGCACAAACGAAAAUUUUAACGGCACAAAUCAGCACAAACGAAGCACUAAAAAAGUAGACAAGUCUGGUUCAUUUUGGAGCAAGCUGGGGGGAUGAUGACCUCUGAAUGACCUAAAAAAUAAUCUUUAAUAUCCGAAAAACUAUAGCAGCACAAACGAAAAUUUUACCGGCACAAAUCAGCACAAACGAAGCACUAAAAAAGUAGACAAGUCUGGUAUAUUUUGGAGCAAACUGGGGGGAUGAUGACAUCAUCGCCCAAAAAUAAAAUUUGUAAUAUCUCAAAAACUAUAGCAGCACAAACGAAAAUUUUACCGGCACAAAUCAGCACAAACGAAGCACUAAAAAAGUAGACAAGUCUGGUAUAUUUUGGAGCAAGCUGGGGGGAUGAUGACGUCAUCGCCCAAAAAUAAAACUUGUAAUAUCUGAAAAACUAUAGCAGCACAAACGAAAAUUUUACCGGCACAAAUCAGCACAAACGAAGCACUAAAAAAGUAGACAAGUCUGGUUCAUUUUGGAGCAAGCUGGGGGGAUGAUGACGUCAUCGCCCAAAAAUAAAACUUGUAAUAUCUGAAAAACGAUAGCAGCACAAACGAAAAUUUUAACGGCACAAAUCAGCACAAACGAAGCACUAAAAAAGUAGACAAGUCUGGUUCAUUUUGGAGCAAGCUGGGGGGAUGAUGACCUCUGAAUGACCUAAAAAAUAAUCUUUAAUAUCUGAAAAACGAUAGCAGCACAAACGAAAAUUUUAACGGCACAAAUCAGCACAAACGAAGCACUAACCACUCAGCCUGUUUGCUUGGAUUUUUUCUGUGGGUGGGGGGUCAGCUUCACUGAGCUAGCUGCAGCUGGUGGUGGAAUAAGUAGUGGCCUGCGCCUGCAACCACAGAUGCAGUGUCAGGUCAGCUGCACAAACAUACAACUAUAGAAAGACUGACUUCCCCGCACACAAGUAGCUAGCUUCUAGCUUCUUCUGGAGAGAGAUUCGUCAUUGGUGUGGACACCUGUCACUCAAACAUGCCGACCAAUGGAGAAGCAUCCGCCCACUGUGGGAUGUUUGUGUCAAAAUGAUUCAAUCGCAAAAAACAGGCUUCAAAACUUUUUUCACUUCGAUCGGAAAAAAAGGUGUUUGAAUGCCAAAACAAAGUCGAAACACUCCGAACACUUUUUUUUUUUGCUUUGAUUGAAAAAAUUUUUUUUGAUUGAAGUUAUAUCUUUUGUGAUUGAGUAAUAAAGAAACAAACGUCCUACUCAUUUUAUGGCUCAAAUCCAAAAAUAUGACUUCAAUCAGAAAAUAUAUUUUCAGUCAAAUAAAAACUGAAUUCAAUAAUGAAAAAAUUUCAAUCAAAGAAAAAACGUGUUCGAAUGCAUUUGUUUAUUAGUCUCAAAUAUUUUUUCUAUUGGGAAAAGAUUUUUUUCUUUGAUUGAAUUUUUAUUAUUAUUAUUGAAGUGACCUUUUUUUUAUUGAAAACAUUUUUUGAGGUUGGGGCUGCUUUUGUUUUCAUUGAGUAAUAAAGAAACAAAUGUCCUACCCAUAAUAUGGCUCAAAUCCAAAAAUAUGACUUCAAUCAAAAAAUGUAUUUUCAACAAAAAAAAAAAAUUCUAUCAAAGAAAAGAUAUGUUUAUAUGCAACUUUUUGGGUCUCACAUUUUUUGUUUUGCAUUUGAACAAGUUUUUUCUUUGAUUGAAAAUGUUUUUUUUAUUGAAGUGAAGUUUUUUCUGAUUGAAAACAUGUUUUGCAAUUGGAGCAACUUUUUUUUCGAUUGAAGAAUAAAGGAACAAAUCUACCUUCAUAGUAGUUACACGAACUCCUCAUGUCACUCGAAUCUUUUACACUUUGAGAAAGGCACGUUCGCCACACUUAAAAUGAAAUAAAAUACUCUUUUUUUUAAACAAAUAAAUGAACUUGUGUUCAUCUUUUUAAUCUAUUUAUUAACAUAUUUACGAUUUUUAACCAUAAAUCCUAUUUAUUCAUUUUAUGCAAGUGUAACUUCAUGUAGCUUAUCUGUCACAUGGGGAAAAAAAUAUGAAUUUAUUAAGUUAUUGGUCUGAUUAAUCAAAUGGUGAACUGGACUGUUAAUAAGGCCUGGUAACCUGGGUUACACUUGCAUGGCAGCUUCCGCCAUCAGUGUGUGAAUGUGUGUGUGAAUGGGUGAAUGUGAUGUACCAUCUAAGGCGUUUUGGGUACCUUGCAGGUAUAGUAAAAGCGCUAUAUAAAUACAGACCAUUUACCAUUUACUAAUAAAGCUGGUAACAUUG